rnacentral:rRNA from 1 species
GAGCUUGCUCUGGCGGAUCAGUGGCGAACGGGUGAGUAACACGUGAGUAACCUGCCCCCGACUCUGGGAUAACUGCUAGAAAUGGUAGCUAAUACCGGAUAUGACGAUUGGCCGCAUGGUCUGGUCGUGGAAAGAAUUUCGGUUGGGGAUGGACUCGCGGCCUAUCAGGUUGUUGGUGAGGUAAUGGCUCACCAAGCCUACGACGGGUAGCCGGCCUGAGAGGGUGACCGGCCACACUGGGACUGAGACACGGCCCAGACUCCUACGGGAGGCAGCAGUGGGGAAUAUUGCACAAUGGGCGAAAGCCUGAUGCAGCAACGCCGCGUGAGGGAUGACGGCCUUCGGGUUGUAAACCUCUUUUAGUAGGGAAGAAGCGAAAGUGACGGUACCUGCAGAAAAAGCACCGGCUAACUACGUGCCAGCAGCCGCGGUAAUACGUAGGGUGCAAGCGUUGUCCGGAAUUAUUGGGCGUAAAGAGCUCGUAGGCGGUUUGUCGCGUCUGCUGUGAAAUCCCGAGGCUCAACCUCGGGUCUGCAGUGGGUACGGGCAGACUAGAGUGCGGUAGGGGAGAUUGGAAUUCCUGGUGUAGCGGUGGAAUGCGCAGAUAUCAGGAGGAACACCGAUGGCGAAGGCAGAUCUCUGGGCCGUAACUGACGCUGAGGAGCGAAAGCAUGGGGAGCGAACAGGAUUAGAUACCCUGGUAGUCCAUGCCGUAAACGUUGGGAACUAGAUGUGGGGACCAUUCCACGGUCUCCGUGUCGCAGCUAACGCAUUAAGUUCCCCGCCUGGGGAGUACGGCCGCAAGGCUAAAACUCAAAGGAAUUGACGGGGGCCCGCACAAGCGGCGGAGCAUGCGGAUUAAUUCGAUGCAACGCGAAGAACCUUACCAAGGCUUGACAUAUACCGGAAACAUGCAGAGAUGUGUGCCCCGCAAGGUCGGUAUACAGGUGGUGCAUGGUUGUCGUCAGCUCGUGUCGUGAGAUGUUGGGUUAAGUCCCGCAACGAGCGCAACCCUCGUUCUAUGUUGCCAGCACGUAAUGGUGGGAACUCAUAGGAGACUGCCGGGGUCAACUCGGAGGAAGGUGGGGAUGACGUCAAAUCAUCAUGCCCCUUAUGUCUUGGGCUUCACGCAUGCUACAAUGGCCGGUACAAAGGGCUGCGAUACCGUAAGGUGGAGCGAAUCCCAAAAAGCCGGUCUCAGUUCGGAUUGAGGUCUGCAACUCGACCUCAUGAAGUCGGAGUCGCUAGUAAUCGCAGAUCAGCAACGCUGCGGUGAAUACGUUCCCGGGCCUUGUACACACCGCCCGUCAAGUCAUGAAAGUCGGUAACACCCGAAGCCAGUGGCCUA